GGUACCGGUAACGGGUACGAAACCGAAGGACGUCGUUCGUCCUUCGGGUAGGGGACUACGUAGGUCGGACGAACGGUGAGUAACACGUGGGCAACCUGCCCCAGACUCUGGGAUAACUCCGGGAAACCGGAGCUAAUACCGGAUAUGACUACUUCGGACAUCCGACGGUAGUGGAAAGUUUUUCGGUCUGGGAUGGGCCCGCGGCCUGUCAGCUAGUUGGUGGGGUAAUGGCCUACCAAGGCGACGACGGGUAGCCGGCCUGAGAGGGCGACCGGCCACACUGGAACUGAGACACGGUCCAGACUCCUACGGAAGGCAGCAGUGGGGAAUAUUGCACAAUGGGCGAAAGCCUGAUGCAGCGACGCCGCGUGAGGGACGACGGCCUUCGGGUUGUAAACCUCUUUCAGCAGGGACGAAGCGAAAGUGACUGUACCUGCAGAAGAAGCACCGGCUAACUACGUG
rnacentral:rRNA from 1 species